GGGCCCGCACAAGCGGUGGAGUAUGUGGUUUAAUUCGAUGCAACGCGAAGAACCUUACCAGGGUUUGACAUCCUGCGAAUUUCUGGGAAACCGGAAAGUGCCUUCGGGAGCGCAGUGACAGGUGGUGCAUGGCUGUCGUCAGCUCGUGUUGUGAAAUGUUGGGUUAAGUCCCGUAACGAGCGCAACCCCUGUCCCCUAUUUGCCAGCGAUCGGUCGGGAACUCUAGGGAGACUGCCGGUGACAAACCGGAGGAAGGUGGGGACGACGUCAAGUCAUCAUGGCCCUUACGGGUAGGGCUACACACGUGCUACAAUGGCAGGUACAAGGGUUGCAAGACGGCGACGUGGAGCUAAUCCCAUAAGCUGCCUC
rnacentral:rRNA from 1 species